rnacentral:rRNA from 1 species
AGAACGAACGCUGGCGGCAGGCUUAACACAUGCAAGUCGAGCGCCCAGCAAUGGGAGCGGCGGACGGGUGAGUAACACGUGGGAACAUGCCCUUUGGUACGGGACAACUCAGGGAAACUUGAGCUAAUACCGUAUGAGCCGGUAACGGGAAAGAUUUAUCGCCAAAGGAAUGGCCCGCGUCCGAUUAGCUAGUUGGUGAGGUAAUGGCUCACCAAGGCACCGAUCGGUAGCUGGUUUGAGAGAACGACCAGCCACACUGGGACUGAGACACGGCCCAGACUCCUACGGGAGGCAGCAGUGGGGAAUCUUGGACAAUGGGGGCAACCCUGAUCCAGCCAUGCCGCGUGAGUGAUGAAGGCCUUCGGGUUGUAAAACUCUUUCGACGGGGACGAUAAUGACGGUACCGUAGAAGAAGCUCCGGCUAACUUCGUGCCAGCAGCCGC